AGCGAACGCUGGCGGCAGGCCUAACACAUGCAAGUCGAACGGACCCUUCGGGGUUAGUGGCGGACGGGUAAGUAACACGUGGGAACGUGCCUUUAGGUUCGGAAUAACUCAGGGAAACUUGUGCUAAUACCGAAUGUGCCCUUCGGGGGAAAGAUUUAUCGCCUUUAGAGCGGCCCGCGUCUGAUUAGCUAGUUGGUGAGGUAAAGGCUCACCAAGGCGACGAUCAGUAGCUGGUCUGAGAGGAUGAUCAGCCACAUUGGGACUGAGACACGGCCCAAACUCCUACGGGAGGCAGCAGUGGGGAAUCUUGCGCAAUGGGCGAAAGCCUGACGCAGCCAUGCCGCGUGAAUGAUGAAGGUCUUAGGAUUGUAAAAUUCUUUCACCGGGGACGAUAAUGACGGUACCCGGAGAAGAAGCCCCGGCUAACUUCGUGCCAGCCGCCGCGGUAAGAC
rnacentral:rRNA from 1 species